UUGACCUCGGAUCAGGCAGGGAUACCCGCUGAACUUAAGCAUAUCAAUAAGCGGAGGAAAAGAAACCAACAGGGAUUGCCUCAGUAACGGCGAGUGAAGCGGCAACAGCUCAAAUUUGAAAUCUGGCUCUUUUAGGGUCCGAGUUGUAAUUUGUAGAGGAUGCUUCGGCGUCGGCUCCGGUCUAAGUUCCUUGGAACAGGACGUCAUAGAGGGUGAGAAUCCCGUAUGUGAUCGGUUGCCCUUGCCAUGUGAAGCUCCUUCGACGAGUCGAGUUGUUUUGGAAUGCAGCUCUAAAUGGGAGGUAAAUUUCUUCUAAAGCUAAAUACUGGCCAGAGACCGAUAGCGCACAAGUAGAGUGAUCGAAAGAUGAAAAGCACUUUGGAAAGAGAGUCAAAAAGUACGUGAAAUG
rnacentral:rRNA from 1 species